rnacentral:lncRNA from 1 species
GGUUGUCUAUACAUCUCAAAAAGAAGACUCAAUUUCCAGUGGAGUAACCAUAGCGAAGGUGCAGCUACUGAAUGCCAUUGAUACCUACCAAAAGAUGGAUACAAGUCUACGAGGACACCUCGUCCUAGUUACCGACUGCCUCUUGAUCUGAAAACAUGAAGUUGAAAACAAUGAGUAUAAACCUAGUGAGUGAACAUGAAAGGGAACAAGCAAACAUUAAGGAAUGUUUAACAAAAUCAUGAUGCAUUCAUUUUUCAAAAUAAUGCAAUUUGUUUUAGUUCUUAUUAAAACCCCUCAUGUAAACCCCACAUGAGUAAAUCAUUUUAUGAAAAGGGUCCAUGCUCAACAAAGGAUUUGGAGAGUGAAAAACGAAAAUGCCUUUCCGCUGCAGUGACACUUGAUUUAAAUUAUCAACUAACCGAGGGUUUCUCACGAAACCUCUUCAUUUUAAACUUAAUUCAUUUAUUCCUUAAUGUUGGAAGUCCAUGCUUAACUAUGGUACCAAAGAAAUUGAAAAUAGCGUAGCAACCAAACCAAAUAAGGAGCCAAACAGAAAGUUUUUCGCUACAGCGAGAUUCAAUCUCCCCGUAGCGAAAUUUUUGGUCUCAAAACAAAAAGUUUCUCGCUGCAGCGAGAUUUCGGCCAACAUCACCCCUCCAAACCCGAGAGUUUCUCGCUGUAGUGAGAUUCAAUCUCGCUUUAGCAAGAAACAGGGCACCAGCAAAAAAAUUCCAUUCCACUCAAGAAAAAGCCAUCCUAUUGUGUUAACAAAAACAACAUGAAACACAUAAAUUCCCAAAAUUGAACCAGUCAAAUUCUAACAGUUUGCAUCACAACCAUAUACCAUAUAUGUAUAUAUAUAUAUAUCAAUCAUCAUGCACACCCUACCAUCAUCAUCAGCUCAUAUGCAUUGACUUAUGCGCACUCCCACUCGCACAUAGCUGGGUCAGCAUCGGCUUAUGCACACUCCUACUCGCACAUAGCCAAGUCAAUAUCAUUACACAACAUUAUUUAUAUAUAUAUAUAUAUAUAUAUAUCAACAUAAUGUAGUAAUACAACAAUCCAUAAUAGCCACAUGUCACACAUAAAGACAAUUUAUCAAAGGCUUGUUCCCAAGGCACCCGUUUUAAGAAAGAUUGAAUAAAUCAUUCACAUUCCCAAAACUAUUUUUGAAAUGCAAGUUCAUUCAUCGGUAUUUGUUAAAUCCUUUAGUCGACUCUAACUUCUCUAAUUGUCCAAAUGGGACAAUAGGGCUUCGUUGAAACCUAUUAUCACAUUAACAUCACCAUUAAGUCAAUUCACAAGCUUAUGAAUUCUAAAAGCUUUUUCUUAGCUAGCUUCGAUGGCCAUUUAAAUGGCUAUCUAUUCUCACUACCCUUAUCACUCUAAAAUGAAUAAUCAACCCUAACUACCAAUUCACCCCCAAAUCUAAACACUAAUCAUUCUCAACACUAAAAAUCAACUUUAGUUUGCUACUCACCUUAAUAGCUUUGUAACCUUGAAAUUCUUUCCAACAAUUCCCAAGCUAUUAUAGGGGCUUUCUUUCUCUUUUCUCUCUAAACACCUAGUUAGUGAGAGAAAGUAUCGAAGUGGGAGUUUUUAAGGGUUUUAAAGUAAGAAAGUGAAAGAACACAAGGGACAAAGGUAUGAAAAUUAGAGCUAGAGAGAGAAAGUUAUGAAAGUUUCAUACCAUGCUUCCAUGGAGGAUGGAAGCACCAUGAAAUGGAAGAAGAAGAAGGAGAAAAGCUACUAGAGAAUGUAGAAGCUGCUGAAAGGAAAAGAUAUUUAUAACCUAAGCUUAUCCACUCCACUUAAAUUACCAAAAUGCCCCUCCAUAAAUUAGCUUAUUCUCCUCCAAUCUUUUAUGAAAUCUUUUACUCUUUUGACACUGGGACAAGGUCCAUAAUGGUCUAAAAAUGCUCGAGUUCAUGAAAACUUAAAAUAUUUUACCUAAGGUGAAAAAUGACCAUUUUGCCCCUACCAUGAAAAUCAUCACCAUUUUGAUUUCCUUUGUCAUUUUACCUUUAUUUAAUCAUCCAUUUAUGCCUUAGGCCUAGUUAGGCCAUAAUAUUGUUUAAAACUUACUUUUAGGGGCUUACUAAGGAAAUGAUGAAAUUACCUCUAAUUAGGGAUAUCGCGUGUACUUCUAUCUACUAGUCUAUAAAGGUCAAGGUCUCACAUGGUCUUUCCUUGGAGAAUCAAAUUACGCAUAGGGCCAAAGUAGCUGGUGAAAAGUCAAAGUCAUCGACUGAAGUAAUCUCUCAACGAUCGGCAUCAUUUGAAGUAUUCUCAUGCAGGUGGCAUCAUAAUCAUCAUUUAGAGUAAUCUCCUAACGGAUGGCAUCAUACACUACAAGUGCGAAUCAUAGACGGGAUAUCAACCACUGCCCUUAUUUACCACAAUCUUUGAGGUAAGGACAUAGUUACAAGGCAUCGAACUCCACUCAUCCGUAAAUCAGAUCAACAUUUUGAAUUCACCCCUCGAACAAAAACACAAAUCCAUAAUUAAAGCCAUCAUGCCUUUAUCAGUCACAUUUUUCGCAUCAAACCUCAAUUCACAUUUAUCGAGCUUUAAUUGUUUUAAGCUCGGUUAAAUUCUAGGUGCCUCUAAGUCUCCAAAGCCUCGUUUAAUCAAAUUAUCUCAACUUAUCAGUCACUUAGGGUAAUCCACUUAUAGGGGUUCAACAUAGCCUACAGGCUUUUUAGUCUAGGCUUACACAACAUAGGGCACCCAUGUGGUUCACAUCAUGACGCAAUCACACACAAUUCACAUAUAUACAUCUACAGAGAUAUUGUUCUCUAGCCUAGGUUCAUUCAUCUAGGCCUAUGUACAAAAUCUAAUACUAGUGUAGUGCAUUUAUAGUGCGUUAUGCAUCACGUGCAUUUAGCUUAAAUCCCACUCAUAGUGACAAUAAGAGGAACUCUCAGCCAAGCUCCGAUCCUUAGCCUUUGAUUAUGGUUUACUUGCCGAUGAGUCGAUGCAACUCCAUUUCUCGUUUCAAAUAUAUCAGAACAUCAAAAGAUUAAUUAUUCUUGGCUUUCAAAAAAUGCUAACUUUUUACCCAAUUAACUAAAUCUUAGCAAUCCAACAAUUUAAGCUCAAAUCUUUCAUUAACAAGCUAAACUCAUACCUUGGAAGUCAGAUUGCAUGAGUCUUAGCUCCGAGUUCCCCAAUGAAAGCGAAAAAGGGAAAAUUACCAAAU